rnacentral:rRNA from 1 species
ACGGGUGAGUAAUAUGUAGGAAAUCUGCCUUAGAGAGGGGGACAACAGAGGGAAACUUCUGCUAAUACCCCAUAUGAGCGUACCUGAAAUGGUAUUCUUGAAAACUCCGGUGCUCUAAGAUGAGCCUGCAUCUGAUUAGCUUGUUGGUGGGGUAAUGGCCUACCAAGGCGACGAUCAGUAGCUGGUUUGAGAGGAUGAUCAGCCACAAUGGGACUGAGACACGGCCCAUACUCCUACGGGAGGCAGCAGUAGGGAAUUUUGCGCAAUGGGCGAAAGCCUGACGCAGCAACGCCGCGCGAAUGUUAAGCCCUUCGGGGUGUAAAGUUCUGUCAGUGGGGACGAAAUUUGACGGUACCCACAGAGGAAGCACCGGCUAACUCCGUGCCAGCAGCCGCGGUAAUACGGAGGGUGCAAGCGUUGUCCGGAAUCAUUGGGCGUAAAGAGUUCGUAGGUGGUAUGUUAAGUCUGGUGUUAAAGCCCGAAGCUCAACUUCGGUUCGGCACUGGAUACUGGCAAACUUGAAUGUGGUAGAGGUAAAGGGAAUUCCUGGU